AUGGUGCUUGGAGAUUUUAACUUGAUCCGUUUCCCCCACGAGAAAAACAAUGAUCGGUUUGAUGCCUCCCGCGCUGCGGUUUUUAACUCUCUCAUGAACAGUCUUGCACUGCAUGAGCUCGCUCUGUCUGAUCGUCUAUUCACCUGGACUAAUAAGCGAGACCCGCCCACGCUGGCUCACUUAGACCGUGUCUUCUUCGACUCGGCCUGGGACGUAGCCUUCCCGGACUCGUCCCUCUCCUCCCGCCCACGCCCCACCUCGGACCACGUCCCCCUGGUCGUGGAAGCGCUAACCAAAAUCCCUUCAUCUCCGCGUUUUUUCUUUGAGAACGCCUGGCUCCGCGACCCUCAGUUCCUCCCGUCCACCCUUCCUUCCCGGUCGAACGUUGGUCAUGGGCGGUGCGCGGUGGGCUGCUUGGCAGCCCGCAAGAAGAGGUACAGAGCUGCGGUCAAGGUUUGGAAAAGGCAACACAAGUUCAUUCCCACUUUCGAUAAUGACUGUAAAUUCUUGAUUGACUUGGUUGAUUUUUGGGAGGAAUGCCGUCCUUUAUCUGUAGAUGAAAUCCGGCUCCGUCAUGACUCACGACUGGCGCUAGUGGCCUCGAUCAAGCGCCAGAGCGUGUACUAG
rnacentral:rRNA from 1 species